CGACAGCAAUAUGAAGGUCAGGCUGAAGACCUUACCCGAUUAGCUGAGAGGUGGUGCAUGGCCGUCGUCAGUUCGUACUGUGAAGCAUCCUGUUAAGUCAGGCAACGAGCGAGACCCACGUCCACAGUUGCCAGCAUACCCUCCGGGGUGAUGGGUACACUGUGGAGACCGCCGCUGCUAAAGCGGAGGAAGGAGUGGGCAACGGUAGGUCAGUAUGCCCCGAAUCUCCCGGGCUACACGCGGGCUACAAUGGUUGGUACAAUGGGCAUCUACCCCGAAAGGGGAAGGAAAUCUCUUAAAGCCAAUCGUAGUUCGAAUUGAGGGCUGCAACUCGCCCUCAUGAAGCUGGAAUCCGUAGUAAUCGCGUUUCAACAGAGCGCGGUGAAUACGUCCCUGCUCCUU
rnacentral:rRNA from 1 species